CUCCCUGGAUCUCAGGAUCCAUCAGGGGAAACAGAGCCCAAGUUAUUUUUCUCUGAGCUUCCUUAAUUUUAUUUUACUGCCUUGGGCAUGAUUAGGACAAUGGUGAGGCUUUGAGGAGGGAAGAUGUUUGGGGGGUGCUUGAAAUAUCUAAUGGGGUCUCCAAAUGUCUAGUCCUUCUGGAGACCAGAAAGACUCCAACCCCUAGGAAAACAGAGGUCUCCUGAGCAGUUUUUGUGCGGAAGGAAUUUCGUGCGCCACACCCCUCUGCAAAACGUUGGGACCCCUUUGGCUCAGGUAACCCCCUUCAUAUUCUAGGCUGCUUUCCAGAGCCACAAUUGCUCCCCUCCUUUUAAGACUGGCUGUUCUGUUCAUCUUGGGUGCCAAGAUUUUUCUUUUACUCGCUAAGCCUUCCCCAUAUAAUCUAAUGCUUCAUUUCUUCCCAGAAAAAAUAAGAUAGUUACUUCAAAUUCAGCAUUUCAAUAAUAGUAGUAAAAAGUCCUUCUUUGUAAAAGGUACAGGGUCAGUUCCUGCCACAGAGCUCAUCUGCAUCAUCUCCGUUUCUCUCUUGUGGAUGAGGAGAAGACCUUUGCAUUUGACCAAAAAGCACUAGUAAAUAAGGAGUUAAAAUGAAGGCAGGCUCACUGGUUUGCUGAGAUCUGUCAGAGUCUGACUGGCUGGCUACAUAUCUGUCUCUGGAACAAUAGGUACCUGUAUUCUGCACGGACUGCUGGGCAGCGCUGACACUCUGGAGAAGGUCUGCCUCUGCACUUUCCUGGUUCUAUGCAGGCAGAUGAGUACCACAGCUGUAACUGAGGCACACGGCAAUAAACACAGUGGAGCCAAUUUCUACGAUGGCGAGAGAGGGGGCAUCAGAGUUGACAACAAUGACAAGGAUCCAAGGACCGUCCUUCUGACAAGUUUCAGGUAUCGGAAGGCACAUAUUUCCCAGGAUGUGAUUUGCAGCCUCAUGGAGCGAGUGACGGAGUGGGUUGCCAACUUGUAG
rnacentral:lncRNA from 1 species